GAUGAACGCUAGCGGCAGGCUUAAUACAUGCAAGUUGAGGGGCAGCAUGAUAUACGCGAGUAUAUUGAUGGCGACCGGCGGACGGGUGAGUAAUAGGUAGGAGACCUACCUCAUACAGGGGGAUAGCAUAGAGAAAUCUGUGGUAAUACCCCAUGAGGUUAUAUGAAUAGAGGCAUAUAAUCAAAGCAUAAGCGAUUAUGCGGUAUGAGAGGGGCCUACUGACCAUUAGCUAGUUGGUGAGGUAAGGGCUCACCAAGGCGAAGAUGGUUAGGGGUUUUGAGAGGGAGACCCCCCACAUUGGAACUGAGAGACGGUCCAGACUCCUACGGGAGGCAGCAGUAGGGAAUAUUGGGCAAUGGGCGAAAGCCUGACCCAGCCAUGCCGCGUGAAGGAAGACGGCCUUAGGGUUGUAAACUUCUUUACUACGCGAAUAGAGGUUAGUACGAGAUACUAAUAGGAAGGUAGUGUAGUAAAAGCACCGGCUAACUCCGUGCC
rnacentral:rRNA from 1 species